rnacentral:rRNA from 1 species
AGUUUUGAGCUAAAUAUAUUUAUAAUAUUAGUUAUUUAUGAAGGUGUUGUAAAAUCUUUAUUUAAAAUUAUAUUUUAGGGGUGAUAGGCCUUUCAAAAACUAAGAUAUCUUGAAUCUAAUUAAAAGUAUGUAGUACAAUUAACACAACUAUUAAGUGAUUAGGCUUUAUAGAAUUAUUAACUUAUAAGAUUUUAUUUACUAUAAUUUAAUAAUUAAGUACAUAAAUAUAUUAAUAUUCAUAUAUUAUAGUUUAUAAAAGAGUAAUUAGAUAGAUUUAAGUUCAUAUUUCUUAUAAUAAUGUUAAUAUUAGUAUUAAGUUUAUAUUUAUAUGAUGAACUCGGCAAAAAUACUUUCUCAACUGUUUAUCAAAAACAUAACUAUGUGAUUGAAUACAUAGCGGUUUCUGCUCAA